UCAAGCUAUAAAGAGCACAAGGGGAAUGCCUUGGCACUAGGAGCCGAAGAAGGACGUGACUAACUGCGAAAAGCUACGGGGAGUUGUAAGUAAACAUUGAUCCGUAGAUUUCCGAAUGGAGCAAUCCGGCUGUGGUCAUGCACAGUCAUCAUAUACUGAAUACAUAGGUAUAUGAGGGGAACCGCCUGAACUGAAACAUCUAAGUAGGGCGAGGAAGAGAAAUCAACCGAGAUUCCGCUAGUAGUGGCGAGCGAACGCGGAAGAGGCCAAACCAGAGGUAGAAAUACCUUUGGGGUUCGGACAACAUACGAUAUUGAUAAUUUCUAGCUGAAUAGUGUGGGAAAGCUAACCGAAGAAGGUGAGAGUCCUGUAAGCGAAAGGAAGAGUCAGUCAGUUGUAUCCAGAGUACCGCCGGACACGUGAAACCCGGUGGGAAUACGGGGGGACCAUCCUCCAAGCCUAAAUACUACCUAGUGACCGAUAGAGAAGAAGUACUGUGAAGGAAAGGUGAAAAGCACCCCGGGAGGGGAGUGAAAGAGAACCUGAAACCUUGUGUUUACAAGCACCGAAAGUCCAUCAAAGGACGAUCGGGUACCUUUUGUAGAAUGGUCCGGCGAGUGUAUGUAUCUAGCAAGGUUAAGCACUUAAGGUGUGAAGCCAAAGCGAAAGCAAGUCUGAAUAGGGCGACAAGUUAGAUGUAUACGACCCGAAACCGGGUGACCUACCCAUGGCCAGGCUGAAGUGAAGGUAAAACUUCAUGGAGGGCCGAACCGACUCCCGUUGAAAUGGUAGCGGAUGAGUUGUGGGUAGCGGAGAAAUUCCAAUCGAACCCGGAGAUAGCUGGUUCUCUCCGAAAUAGCUUUAGGGCUAGCCUUGAAAUAGAUUACUGGAGGUAAAGCACUGAAUUGGCUAGGGGCCGAAAGGUUACUGAACCUUAUCAAACUCAGAAUGCCAGAUAAUCGUUUUUCAGGAGUCAGACGGUGGGAGAUAAGUUUCAUCGUCAAAAGGGAAACAGCCCAGACCCACAGCUAAGGUCCCAAAUUAUAGUUAAGUGGAGAAGGAUGUGGGAUUGCAUAGACAACCAGGAUGUUGGCUUAGAAGCAGCCACUCAUUAAAAGAGUGCGUAAUAGCUCACUGGUCGAGUGAUCCCGCGCCGAAAAUUUAACGGGGCUAAACUAUAAACCGAAGCUUGGGAUACCGCAAGGUAUGGUAGGAGAGCGUCAUGUAAGGGGUGAAGUCAUAGCGAAAGCGGUGGUGGACUUUACAUGAGUGAGAAUGCCGGAAUGAGUAGCGAGAAUUAAGUGAGAAUCUUAAUGGCCGAAAGUCUAAGGUUUUUGGAGGAAGGUUCGUCCGCUCCAAGUAAGUCGGGAGCUAAGGCGAGGCCGAAAGGCGUAGUCGAUGCACAUACGGUUGAUAUUCCGUAACCACUGACAACUUAAACAAAAUGACACUUUAGAAGGGCUUGACCCGGGUGCUGGUAAUCCCGGGCGUAAGGGACCGAAAUUUAGUAGGGAAGCAAGCUUGGAUGGAGGCGAGAAAAGUUUUGUGUAUGUAAUGUUGGUGCCCGUACCGCAAACCGACACAGGUGGACAGGAAGAGAAUUCUAAGGCCAGCGGGAGAAGGGUAGUUAAGGAACUCGGCAAAUUGACUCCGUAACUUCGGGAAAAGGAGUGCUCUCGAGAGAGAGCCGCAGUGAAUAGGCCCAGGCGACUGUUUAGCAAAAACACAGGUCUCUGCCAAAUCGAAAGAUGAAGUAUAGGGGCUGACACCUGCCCGGUGCUGGAAGGUUAAGAGGAGGAGUGAGAGCUCCGAAUUGAAGCCCCAGUAAACGGCGGCCGUAACUAUAACGGUCCUAAGGUAGCGAAAUUCCUUGUCGGGUAA
rnacentral:rRNA from 1 species